rnacentral:lncRNA from 1 species
GGGGUUGAAUUAGAGCUGUAGCUGCCAGCCUACACCACAGCCACAGCAACACAGGAUCAGAGCUGCAUCUGCGACAUGCACCACAGCUCACAGCAACAGCAGAUCCUUAACCCACUGAGUGAGACCAGGGCUCAAAGCUGCAUCUUCAUGGAUUCUAUCCAGAUUUGUUACCUCUGAGUCACAAUGGGAACUCUGCAGUCCAGUUAAUUCUAUAAGAAUUCAUAACUAAUUUAAAACUAAAUCAGGAAUUAUGAAUAAUUUUUUAGAUCAAAAAAGAGAGGACUUAGGUUUGUUCAGAGCUCUUUCUAAAAAAAAGCCUAUCACAUUAAGUUCCAGCUACACUUUCACUCUUUUACUAAACAUGCUAUAGCUUACAGCAGCAAUCCAUCAAGUAUGGAUGACCAGUGUGGUUUAUUUGGGAAUACCAGUUUCAUCUUUUUUGCAGAAUGUGUUCCUUUCCAAGUAAAUAAUUUUAUUUUACAGGCUUUCACAGUCAACAGACAAAAUAAUUUUUGAGAUGAAAUGUUUUUAAAACUAAUAGUCUUUAAACAGAAGCAAUCAUAGUUGACCAAAAUGUUCUUGUUAGCAAAAUAUGUCACCAAAAAGUACUUCCCUGUUUUGAAUGGCUUCUCUGCUUUAGAAUUAAAAUCAUCGGUGCCUAAAGCAACAGCAACCACAGUCUGAAACUGAGAUUUUCCAGAUAUAUUAGGUUGUUGAAAAUAUUUAAGCGUCAAAUAAUCUGUUAAGCCAAAUAAAGGGUAGAUAAGCAAGUGAGAACUCUGUUGCUGCCAGUAAUGGGCAAAGCUGCAGCAAAAAGUUGAUAGCAAGUGUUACUGAGUAAGCCAAGGGACAGGGCCUCCACCCUCCCCUGGACAUCAGUUUCUAUUUCCUAUCGCUGUGCCUGCCUGUCUGACUUUGUCUCUUUUUCUCUCUGGAUUCGAUAGCGUCUGUAUCUCCGUGAGCCCUGUAAUCCAUCUUCCAAGGACUGUUUCAGCAGUCCUCAGUGGAAAACACAUUCCUGACUUUGGGCCUAGAGUAAAUCAUAGCCACAAACGUACACAUGUCUAAAGGGGAUUUUGACACUGUGUAGCCACAAAACUGAGGCACGUGCAAUGCCACUGGACCAUAGAGUAUCACCACACCCAGGCACAACUCUGAGGUGGAUAAGGGGAUUCUUCAGAGACACCUCCCUUUUUGGAAGAGCUGCAUCUUUCAAGCCCUGAUAAAUAUCUCUGCUACUACAUCCUUUCCAUUGCAUGAUAUUCAUGCGUUAAUGAUGACUAAGUAGCAAAUAAUGCAGUAAAAAUGCAGUAUUCUGUAAGAAAUUUUUGAAAUGAAACUUUAAAGACACCAAGAGAGAGUUUUUUGAAUGCAAGGAAUUAUAUAUGAAAAGGAAUUUCUGGAGUUCGCAUUAUGGCUCAGAGAAUUAGGAACCCCACUCUGUCUCUCUGAGGAUGCAGGUUCAAUCCCUGGCCUUGCUCAGUGGGUUAAGUAGCCGGUAUUGCUGCAAGCUGUGGUGUAGGUCACAGAUGUGGCUUGAACCUGGUGUGGUGGUGGUAUAGGCCUCAGCUGCAGCUCCAGUUAGAUCCCUAGCCUGGAACUUCCAUAUGCCACAGUCUUUUUUUUUUUUUUUUUAAAUCAGUACCUGCUCACAUAAGUGUCUCUGUAAUUUAUUCUCUGAAGCUACUUAUUGAGCAAUAGAGCUUGAUCAUGACUUCAAUUUGAUUGUAAGUACAUAAUUAGGUAUCUUUUCUAAAGGAAGAUCAAACAUGAAUUUGACUUCAAUUGUUGGUUGGUUUGAAAUCAACGUAUACUAACUCCUACUAUAUCCUUUUGUGACUGAAAAAUAUGUUCCAGAAAAGAGAGAUUUUGUAUUUUUCUGUUGUUGCCUUUUGUUAAUUUGGCAGCAAAAGAAGACAGCAUACAGACCAUAGCUUUUAAACAAAUUAAUGGAAACAUUUAAAAAUAAGUUGAGUGCCUCAUCUACAGGAUUUUUUUCUCUUUGAAUAUAUGCAUGAAAGAGACUUCUAAAACUUUGAUAUUACAACACUCAUAUAGCUAAAUGUGGAGAUCAUUGUAAGGGAUAAAUUUCAACUUAUUAAAAGGCAAGAUCUCUAAAAAUUAGGGCAUUUUAUAUGCAUAUGUUUUAAAGCAUUGUUUUUGUAGGUCUCAAGUUAAAUUGGAAUCAUUUUUUAUUUUUUCAUUUGGGCUCAUCUAAUCCGACUUGCAUGAAAAUGCCACAAAAUUGUGAACUUCUUUUGUUAAUUGUAGAAAAUUGGUGUUAUAAAGAGAAGCAACAAAUAAACCUGAAAACAUACCAUAAUUUUAAUACCAUGUACUAUUAACACUUAAAGAAAAUUAUCUCUGGAGGACAUAUAUGUAAACUUAUAUAUCAUAAAGUGGGAUAAUACUUAAACACGCCAUUUUAGCCUCUUUUCUACUCAACAUUAUACCAUGAGUAGUAUGACUUGUGAGUUGAAAUAACAGACCAUAUAAAAGAUUAAAGUUCAGCUCCAAAAGAUUCUGCUGUAUGAUUCUAUGUUAAGACUCUGUGUUGUGUCUUUAUCCCACAUUUUUCUGUUGUUUUUCUUUCCUCAAUUAACAUGAAAUGGGAUUGUUUGUUUCUUGCUGUUAUACACUUCCUCUAACACUGGAUGAGCCACUAACACACCCUAGAAGAAAAGACACCACAACUUCACUUCCAUUAAUCACAAACCCUAUAGACAGGUUAGGGUAGGGGAUGGACUGGGGAUUUGAGAUUGGCAUAUGCACACUAAGGUAUAUGGAAUGAUGGGCCAAUGGGGAUCUGCUGUGUAGCACAGGGAGCUCUUAGCCAAUAUUCUGUGGUAAUCUAUGUGGGAAAAGAAUCUAAAAGACAAUGGAUGUGUUUAUAUGUAUAAGUGAAUAAGUGAGUCACUUUUUCGUAUAGCAGAAAUUAUCGCAACACUGUAGAUCAACUAUAUAUAUUUCCACAAAAUUUUUAAAAAUGAGAGAAGUAAAUAAAUAAAAACAAUCUUCCCUUUAAAAAAAAAAUCGCAAGCCCUACUUUGAUGGCUUGAUGCAUGAAAAAUAGACUUCAUUGGGAGGGGUUAUUGGUAUGUGGUGAAGAGAUUUGACAAGUGUGCAGGAUUGUGCAUGAACAGAGUCCAGCUGUGUUCCAAACAGAUGUGCAGGAGUUAGGAAGUAGGAGUAAGUGCAGUGGGGGUGAUUCCUGGGGCAGAAUCUCCACUCUGCUAUUGACAACCUCGUUGACCUUGGACAAGUGACUUGGCCUCUUUGCAUUUGGUUUCCUCAUCUGUAAAAUGGGGAUGGUGACAGCAGUUCACUCAUAGAUCUUUGUGGGAAGCAAGGGAAUUUGCACACACAGCAGCCUGAAUGAAGCACUUAAGACUGUGUCUGGAACAGGAUCAAUAGAAUCUGAGAGCUGUGUUAGUGUGUUUGAAUUCUUGGUCAGUCAAUGGUAGCAUUGUUCUUGAUCACUGUCUGUGCUUAUAACAAAGCAAAUGUGUGGUGGAUUUUAAAGAAGGAAAACUGAUUAGGCAGUGUGAAUGCAUUAAUUUGCUUAUAGUCAUCCUUUGAAAAAAAUUUAAACAGCUCUGUUAUGCCAAUCUGGGGUCUUUUAUUCUGUUCUUCCCUUCUUUCUGCCAGAAUGUAGCCAACCUAUAGCUAUGAGGAGAAGAAAAUAUUGGGGAGACUUUGGUGCUGACAUUACUGAACUGUGAACCAGCAUUAGCUGCUGCCCAAUUUUUGGACUACUCGUUUCAUAAACAAUAAAUCUCAGACCCCUAGCCUGGGAACCUCCAUGUGCCACAGGUACGGCUGUAAAAAAACAAAAAACAAAACAAAACAAAAAACCCAGUAAAUCUCUGUACAUGCCGGAUAUUUUAUUUGGGUUUACUGAUGAAGCCAUAUUCUGAAUUUAUAAUCUUGCUGACUCAGAUUCCUCAUUAGUAAAAUAUAGGUGAUUUUAAUAACACCUAACUACUACUGUGGCUGUGGGGAGUGAAUUAUGUUUAUGAAAAUCACCUUGCAAAUUGUAAAACACUGUACAAAUGUUAGUUGUUAUUGCUCAUAAAAUCAUGUGUGCCCUUUCUCCACAUCCAAUUAUGAAGCUUGAUGAAAAUGGGUGAAGUGGUGAAUAAGUUUGCUGAAAGAGAAAGGAAUAGUUCUUAAUGAAUUAUUAACAGCAAUUAUCUCCGAUGGCCACGCUUUAUAAGGGGACAGCUGGCUGCUGUGAUGCUGUUCUUGGGUUCAGCUCAAGAGGAGUUUCUGUGCAUAUUCUCACUUCUCCCACAUUCAUAUUAUUCUGUCAGGGAAUUGCUACCAGAAUUUCCAUGGGAGAAUACUGUGUUGGUUAUAUGACUAAAUGGGGUGUUUUAAAAAGAAGUAUGCACAAUGUAAAGUCCUCUUAAAAAAAAAUAAAUAAAUAGAGGAAAAAGGUAUUACAGCACAGCUUCAUAAGUCUAGACUUCAAGCCCAACAGGAACACAGACUCUUGCAUUACAGGUUACAGAAAGUACCAAAGCCAGACAAGACACUACCAAAAAAAGAAAAUUACAGGCCAACAGCUUUGAUGAAUAUGGAUGCAAAAAUUCUCAAUAAAAUAAUAGCACAAAUCUAACAAUGCAUAAAAAAGAUCAUAUACUAAGACCAAAUAGAAUAAGGAAAGCAAAAUAUAAUAAGAUGGUAAAGUAUAUAGUUUAUCUGCUAAUCAGAGGCUGUUGUGGAAUGAAAUGGAGUUCCACAGCGUGCUGGCUGUCAUAGUGAAAAUGUUUAGGGAUUCACUUCCUUCACAAAUAAUGUGGUAAAACUGAAGCUACCAGUUGUAACCUUUCCUUUGAUUUUCAUAUAAUUACAAGUGCACUGUGCGAGUGAAUCUCUUUACACCCACUUUACAACACCAAGUGCAUUCUCAGGUAGAUCAUGGUUGAUUGGAUUCUAUAUUGAGCAAGGCCUUGGGCUCUGGAAAGGACCUCCUUCCUGGACCCUGACCUGAGAUGCUGUUUCCAGUUCCCUUCUACGAGGUUGCAGUAGGCCUACACCAAAACUAUUCUUCUCAUCUGCUGCUCACCCACUUCAGGAAUCAUGGCACAGGAUGGGGACUGAGGUGAGGCAAGGAAGGUGGGGGCAGCAGCAGAUGAAAACAAACCUUGGUUAUCAAGAUAAAACUUUUAAUGCAAUUAUCUUAAGACAUCAAAAGAAAUUUAGAACACCUGUGAUGAACAAAGUGUCAAAAAUCUUUUCAUUCACUUGGAAUUUUUAAAAUUUGCAUUAAAAUAUGAUUUAUCCCCAUUGUUAAGGGAAGGGGGGUGUUUGGUUCGUAUGUAGGAAUUUUUGUGUCCAAGGCAAGUGCUUCAUUCUCCUGACCAUAGUUGCAACCUGCUAGGGAAGAAAA